GCCCCAGUAGCUCAGCGGAUAGAGCAACCGCCUUCUAAGCGGUGGGUCGCAGGUUCAAGUCCUGCCUGGGGUA
rnacentral:tRNA from 1 species